rnacentral:rRNA from 1 species
UGACGAGCGGCGGACGGGUGAGUAAUGCUUGGGAAUAUGCCUUUACGUGGGGGACAACAGUUGGAAACGACUGCUAAUACCGCAUAAUGUCUUCGGACCAAAGGAGGGGACUCUUCGGAGCCUUUCGCGUAAAGAUUAGCCCAAGUGGGAUUAGCUAGUUGGUGGGGUAAUGGCUCACCAAGGCGACGAUCCCUAGCUGGUUUGAGAGGAUGAUCAGCCACACUGGGACUGAGACACGGCCCAGACUCCUACGGGAGGCAGCAGUGGGGAAUAUUGCACAAUGGGCGAAAGCCUGAUGCAGCCAUGCCGCGUGUGUGAAGAAGGCCUUCGGGUUGUAAAGCACUUUCAGUCGUGAGGAAGGGGUAGUAAUUAAUACUUACUAUCUUUGACGUUAGCGACAGAAGAAGGACCGGCUAACUCCGUGCCAGCAGCCGCGGUAAUACGGAGGGUCCGAGCGUUAAUCGGAAUUACUGGGCGUAAAGCGUACGCAGGCGGCUUUCU